UUGGUGGUGAUGUCUGAUCUGAGAGAGUGAUGACAGCUGAAGCCAUAAACUACAUGUAGGUAGGAGAAACUAGAUAAGUCUUCAGGGGGUGGAGAGAAGGGGUGUUUGGUGUGGAAGCAUGUUAGUAGCGUCUUCUCUGCGUGAUAGGGAGUGGAAGGAAAAGACUUUAAGGAGUAGCUGCACUGCUGAGGACAAGUUUGGGGCUCUGUUUGCUGAAGGUGUUGAAUAAAUCACUAUGAUCUCCAGUCCCAUGGGAGACCACAAUGGAGAAGACAGCCAUGGAAACUUAGACCUGAAUUUAACUCUGGCGACCAGAGCUUUGAGAAUGUGGGCUAUGUAUUACCAAAUCUUUAUCAUUUUGAGAUCUGAGAGUCAGAAGAUACCAGGCACCUUUGAAUAGACAGAGUAGAUGUGUUGUGCCAAAGCUGAGAAGACCUUUCCAGAUCGAUAUCUCCUUGCACCUACAUCUUACAGAACGUGGAUUUCAGAACAUGGUGUCGGGACAUCCCAGGUCUGUGAGGAGAGGGCAGUGGCUGGCAAGGCUGCCCCAUGUUACACAGAUUGACCAAACAUAGCUGAGUGCUGGGCCUGCCUACCUCAAAGGUGACCUUGAGGUUUGUUGAAGAUGCCUCUGGUAAGUUUAAGCAGACAAAUUACUUCAUGUGGUUGCUAGUAUAAUGACAGGCUUAGAACAAGAAAAUGCGGGAGUGCACUUGAAAUGAAUGCUUUGCUCUGGGGAGAAAAGUGCUUUGAACAGUUGUAUGAAGUGUAAAUGACUUGGGGAAUUGGAGGAUCCAUAGGUGACUUGGAGUGUGGUUUUCUGUUGGGAUUUCUGUCAAACCUGUUAAUUUUGUAAUUCUUUUGACUCUUGCUGAAAGCAGCCUGAGAGGGAAAUAGCAACAAUUUUCCAUGAAAUGUGACAUUCUGAAAUAUCAAGUUGUUAGUUGAAACACAUGAUUUGCAUGAAAGGUAUAAUUCCUCUGCCACUUCUCUCAUAAAAAUGUCAUAGAAAUUUAAUUGCAAAAGUAUUAGCAGCUAAGAGCUGGAAUCAAAAAUCUUGGGGUGCAGCAGAGGGGGAAGGACGAUUCUUUCUGUAGGCCGUUUACACAAUAUAUAGCACCUUCUGUCUGCAGGUCUGGUUUCUGUCAUAUGAGCCCUGCUAAAACAAAAUCAGCUGUUUCUAUUUGAUCUCUGAACUUCAUUAACUGUUUCCACCAUGACGACUGUGGACGGUACUUUUAGCAGCAUAAAGUGUCUGAGCUCUUAAGUGGUACAAAAAGACAGAAAUGCAGCCAAGAGAUGGAGCAUGCUUUCUGAGAUCUCUUCUGUGGAGGACAUAGCUGGAUC